AAUCCUGAGCUGUUAGUUCAAGAUGGCGGCUGCCGUGGGGCCCUUGGGCGAUGGGGAGCUGUGGCAGAGCUGGCUUCCUAACCACGUCGUGUUCUUGCGGCUCCGCGAGGGCGUAAGAAACCAGAGUCCAGCCGAAGCGGAGAAGCCAGCGGCUUCGACUUCACCCUCGUGCCCGUCUCUGCCGCCGCAUUUGCCGACGAGAAACCUGGUCUUCGGCCUCGGAGGGGAACUGUUUCUGUGGGACGCAGAAGGCAGCGCCUUCUUGGUGGUUCGCCUUCGAGGCCCCAGCGGUGGUGGCGUGGAGCCUCCUCUCUCCCAGUAUCAGGUGCGCCGGUCCAUCGUGAAAGCAAUCAGCCUUUUGGUUCGUUGGCGGACCUGGGCUGGCGUCUUUUGGGAACGCCCCACUUCGAGUGGAAUGACCCCGCUUUGUAGCUCAAUCUGGUCUGGAAUCACUAUGUAGCCCAGGCUAGCCAGGAACUCCUGCCCCAGUCUCUGAGUGUUGAGAUUACGGGUCUAAGUCAUUUAUAAACACCAAAACAGAGGCUAGGCCUGUGUGUGUGUCCAGCACCUGACAUAAACCUAGAGCAUGCACAAGCUCCGUAAUAUCUGUGAUUUGCUUCGGUGGGGGUGGAGGGGUUUGUUGAGACAGGGUUAACAGCCCUGGUUGUUCUGGAACGCACUCUGUAGAGCAGGCUGACCUCAUUAACAGAGAUCUGGAGGAUCCUGAUCAGAGCUAGGAUUAAGCCAUGUGCUGCCACUGCCCAGUUCUACAACAGGCAUUUAAAGACAUGGGCCUACAGAUUUAAAAGCAAUUAGAAAUAUUAUUAUAUUCAAAAGAAAUCCUUAUUUAAAAGGAUUUUUGGCUUAGUAUAAUUCUCCAUACUAAGAGAUUACUCUGCAUUAAUCCACCCUUGUUUGAAAUCCAUCAAGUCUUGUUGAGUCCAACCCAACAUCAUGUAGCACUUAUCGGAAGUAAAGGACUUAUGGCAUUAGAAUUACCUCAGAGGUGGGGGAAGGACUCUGAAUUUGAAGGUGGAAAAGCAACUGUGAAUUGUAGCACCAUCCCGAUUGCUGAGAGAUUUUUCACCAGCUCUACCUCUCUGACUCUGAAGCAUGCUGCAUGGUAUCCAAGUGAGAUGCUGGAUCCCCACAUAGUGCUGUUGACAUCAGACAACGUGAUAAGAAUUUAUUCUCUCCGUGAGCCCCAGACACCCACUAAGGUGAUUGUACUUUCAGAAGCAGAAGAGGAAAGUUUAAUACUCAAUAAAGGAAGAGCAUAUACAGCGUCUCUAGGAGAGACUGCAGUGGCGUUUGACUUCGGGCCCCUGGUAACCGUCUCAAAGAAUAUAUUUGAACAGAAAGACAGAGAUGUGGUGGCGUAUCCACUGUACAUCCUGUAUGAGAAUGGGGAGACCUUCCUUACCUACGUGAGCCUGUUACACAGCCCAGGGAAUAUUGGGAAGCUGUUGGGCCCACUGCCUAUGCAUCCUGCAGCUGAAGAUAACUACGGUUACGAUGCCUGUGCUAUACUCUGUUUGCCCUGUGUUCCAAAUAUCUUAGUAAUUGCGACUGAGUCAGGAAUGCUGUACCACUGUGUUGUACUAGAGGGAGAAGAAGAAGAUGACCAAACGUUAGAAAAGUCCUGGGAUCCCAGGGCUGACUUCAUCCCUUCUCUGUACGUGUUUGAGUGUGUUGAGUUAGAGCUUGCCCUGAAGCUGGCAUCUGGAGAGGACGAUCCCUUUGCCUCUGACUUUUCCUGCCCAAUUAAACUGCACAGAGAUGAAGAAGAUAAGGAUAGUUUACAAGAACUCACUGCUGAGCAGAAAUGCUUUGUGGAGCACAUUCUUUGUACAAAGCCAUUGCCGUGCAGCCAGCUCCAAUUCGAGGAUUCUGGAUCGUCCCAGACAUCCUGGGGCCCACAAUGAUCUGCAUCACCAGUACCUAUGAAUGUCUCAUACGGCCUUUAUUAAGUACAGUCCACCCAGCAUCUCCUCCCCUGCUCUGUACCCAAGAAGAUGCUGAAGUUGCAGAGUCUCCACUGCGCAUUCUGGCUGAAACUCCAGACUCCUUUGAGAAGCAUAUUAAAAGAAUCUUGCAGCGUAGUGCUGCCAACCCAGCAUUUCUCAAAUCAUCUGAAAAGGAUUUGGCUCCCCCUCCCGAGGAGUGUCUUCAGCUUAUCAGCAGAGCCACCCAGGUGUUCCGAGAACAGUACAUUCUCAAGCAGGACCUGGCCAAGGAGGAGAUUCAGCGGAGGGUCAAAUUAUUAUGUGACCAAAAGAGGAAACAACUCGAAGAUCUCAAUUACUGUCGAGAGGAAAGGAAAAGUCUCCGGGAAAUGGCUGAGCGCUUAGCUGACAAAUAUGAGGAAGCCAAAGAAAAACAAGAAGAUAUCAUGAACAGGAUGAAAAAAGUGCUUCACAGUUUUCAUGCUCAGCUCCCAGUUCUCUCUGACAGUGAGAGAGACAUGAAGAAAGAGUUACAGCUGAUACCUGAUCAACUGCGACAUCUAGGCAACGCCAUCAAACAGGGGUGAACACAUAAGGGAAAUGGUGAAGCAAAUCAAUGACAUCCGAAAUCAUGUCACCUUCUGACACCACCUGGAAUGAACAUAACUUGAAGGCUGUAAAACAAACAGGGAGCACUGUUUAAUUUAUAAAGGAGCAUUUUGGAUAAGAUUUGGUGUGGUUAUUCUUUUGUUAUUCCUUUUUGUUAUUAUUUCUGUUAAAUAAAUUUAUUUAUUCAAAUAAAGUUUGAAUAAAUUUUUAUUCAAAAAUUUGACUUUGCUUUACAAU